rnacentral:lncRNA from 1 species
CCGGCCUUUGGAACUCCUCCUUCAACUCCGGCUUUUGGGGCUACUUCUUCCACACCGGCAUUUGGCACUCCGUCUUCGACACCGGCGUUUGGCACUCCGUCUUCGACACCUUCGUUUGGGGCUCCGUCUUCGACACCGGCAUUUGGAACUCCGUCCUCGACACCGGCGACACCGGCUUUUGGAACUCCAUCAACGCCGUCUUUCGCUACGGGCUUUGGCGGCUCCUCUCUUUUCUCCACCCCAUUCUCUUCUCAAACGCAACAGCAACAGACUUCAUUGUUUCAGCAACCACAGCCAUCCAUCGCGGCACCCUCUAGUGGUU